rnacentral:rRNA from 1 species
GACGAACGCUGGCGGCGUGCUUAACACAUGCAAGUCGAACGGAAAGGCCCUGCUUUUGUGGGGUGCUCGAGUGGCGAACGGGUGAGUAACACGUGAGUAACCUGCCCUUGACUUUGGGAUAACUUCAGGAAACUGGGGCUAAUACCGGAUAGGAGCUCCUGCUGCAUGGUGGGGGUUGGAAAGUUUCGGCGGUUGGGGAUGGACUCGCGGCUUAUCAGCUUGUUGGUGGGGUAGUGGCUUACCAAGGCUUUGACGGGUAGCCGGCCUGAGAGGGUGACCGGCCACAUUGCGACUGCGAUACGGCCCAGACUCCUACGGUAGGCAGCAGUGGGGAAUAUUGCACAAUGGGCGGAAGCCUGAUGCAGCAACGCCGCGUGCGGGAUGACGGCCUUCGGGUUGUAAACCGCUUUCGCCUGUGACGAAGCGUGAGUGACGGUAAUGGGUAAAGAAGCACCGGCUAACUACGUG